CUGAAGACGGUGGCGGAGAUCAAGAGGCAGAAGAGCAGACGGCAGGAACUGGCCCCCUUGGAUUCCAUAUUCCUCCUCCUUCUUGGUGGGCCACUGACGGAGUCCACGCCGCAGGAGGGGGCGUCGUCCCGGGCCCCGCGGUGCCCGCGCGCUGGCGGGUCCCGACGCAGGGGCAGCGUCUUCUCCCAGACACACCGUCCCCUGGGCUGUGGCGCUGCACCUUCGGUUCUCUGCCGCACGCAACUUUCCACCACGCAAUGCCCCCAACUCCUCCUCCCUCCCGGUCAACACCAGCCCACGGGCCCUUCGGCUGCUCCUCCGGGGACAACGACCCUCUCUUUCCAGGAGACACUUGAGUAAUUCGGAAAGGUGGCCAAGGAAGGGAAGGACAAAC
rnacentral:lncRNA from 1 species